UUUCUUAGACUUUGGAUGGUGGAGACCUGUGCCUGCUACUUCUCUCAUCUCCUGAUACCUAAUGCAUAGUGUUCAGUGCUAUAGUGCUCAUGGUGCCACUACAUUGCUGGUCUGGAACUCCUGGUCUGAAGCAAUCCUCCCGCCUCCACUUCCCAAAGUGCUGGGAUUAUAGGCAUGAGCCACUGCAUUCAACCUCUUAAGGACUUUUUGAUCCGGCUUCAGUUUCUGCUCCACUGUUGGUACAAUCCUGCUUUUUAAAACACUUUGGAUCACAUUGGUGCUGCAUCAAAGCCUUCAGCCAACCUGGGAAGUGACCAGGACUCUGCAAACUCCUUAUGGCACCAAGGAAGAGAACCAAUGGCAGAAGUCACACAUGCAAGCAAGAUGGGAGUCUGGAGAGCCUCAGGCUAAAUCACCAGUGCUCAGCCCUCUUCUCUUUCCCCAGUAGGGGCCUUGCCUCUCCAGUGUACCCGGCUUUUGAAGGACCUUGUCUCCAUGUUUCCAUUGUUGAUGGAAGGACCGUGGCAGGACUUUGCUUUCCAGUGCCACUAUUAUGUCAGCAGGCUAGCCCUGAACCCCACAUGUUCAAAAAACGUGGCUAUACCAACUUGUCACAGCGCCCAUCCCACUUUCUAGAAGACUUUGAUAUCUCACUCAGAGCAACUCCUGCCAGGAGUUUAUAUUGUGUGCAGCUGAUUCAGGCAGUAACUUCCACUCAGCGAGGGGGUCCAUUUAAGAAAAAUUACUUCUCUUCCUUUUAUGCCCAGUAUGGUUCUUAA
ensembl:lncRNA